rnacentral:rRNA from 1 species
GACGAACGCUGGCGGCGUGCUUAACACAUGCAAGUCGAACGGAAAGUCCCGGCUUUUGUGGGGUGCUCGAGUGGCGAACGGGUGAGUAACCCGUGAGUAACCUGCCCUUGACUUUGGGAUAACUUCAGGAAACUGGGGCUCAUAGCGGAUAGGAGCUCUUGCUGCAUGGUGGGGGUUGGUAAGUUUCGGCGGUUGGGGAUGGACUCGCGGCUUAUCAGCUUGUUGGUGGGGUAGUGGCUUACCAAGGCUUUGACGGGUAGCCGGCCUGAGAGGGUGACCGGCCACACUGGGACUGGGAUACGGCACAGACUCCAACGGGAGGCAGCAGUGGGGAAUAGUGCACAAUGGGCGGAAGCCUGAUGCAGCAACGCCGCGUGCGGGAUGACGGCCUUCGGGUUGUAAUCCGCUUUCGCCUGUGACGAAGCGUGAGUGACGGUAAUGGGUAAAGAAGCACCGGCUAACUACGUG